GAUGAACGCUGGCGGCGUGCCUAAUACAUGCAAGUCGAGCGAGCGGACGAGAAGCUUUCUCCUCUGGUGGUAUCGCCGGUCGGGUGCUUAACUCGGGUAUAACCUACCUAUAAGACUGGGAUAAUUUCGGGGAAUCGUGUCUAAUGCCGGAUGAUAUUUUGAACCUCAUGGUUCAAGAGUUGAAUACGGUCUUGCUUACACUUAUAGAUGGAUCCGCGCUGCAUUAACUGGUUGGGAAGGUAACUGCUUACCAAGGCAGGGAUGCAGAGCCGACCCGAGAGGGAGAUUGCCUACACUGGAACUGAGAAACGGUCCAGACUCUUACGGGGGGAAGCAGUAGGGAAUCUUACGCAAUGGGCGAAAGCCUGACGGAGCAAAGCCGCGUGAGUGAUGAAGGUCUUCUGAUCGUAAAACUAUGUUAUUAGGGAAGAACAUAUGUGUAAGUAACUGUGAACAUAUUGACGGUACCUAAUCAGAAAGCCCCGGCUAACUACGUG
rnacentral:rRNA from 1 species